UUAAUAAGCUCAUUCAAAUAAUAAAUAAUUUCAAUAAAGCAGCGAUGGAUGUACGAAUAAUGUAUUUUAUAUUUAAAAUCGACAUAUAUAUGUAUAUAAUGUUUGGCAACCUUUGUUGUUAUCCAAACGAUGCAUUCAAUGAAUUAAAUAUUGGGGAAACGAUAUAAUGGAAAGCACUUUCUUCUUAAUUGCAAAAAGAUUUAAAAAGAUAUACUUUUCUAUAGAAAAUACAUUGUACACAUGCAAUAUCGCAUGUGCAAAAUAUAAUUAUAUUAUUCUUUUCAAAUAGAGACAUAUACUUACACCUCCUGUCAUUUUGUGCAUAUAACAAUUAAGAUGAUUUAAAGUAACUGCUACUACUGUUAAAGAUGCCUAAAUAUUAUUUUAGUACAUUGUAAAGAUUUCAUAUAUAUUUCAUUUAUUGUUUUCGUGCAUAUUAUGAUUUAUGAUCGUAUAUGUAUUUUAAAAGUUAAAUGGUAUUUGAGGUAUUGUGCAACAUCUCGGUCAUUAUGCUCAGCAUCGUACUGGCAGUGUUCUAAAUUCAAUCAAACUCGUGGAUAAACAUUAUCAUUUAUUGAUAUUAAUUAAAUUAUUCAAAUAUUAAAUAUAUUAAUAACGUAAAUUUAAGAAAUGUUAUUAUUAUAAAGAUACAGAUUAAGUAAAAAUAUUGAAAUAUCACUUUACUCGUUAUUACUAAAUUUCAUAUAAUGAUUUAUAUUUCCUCUGUGUAUGUGGAUUUUGUAUAUUGUAUCGCGUAUUUUCAUUAGGUCAAUUAACCCUUUCACUACUAUGAACAUAAUGUUCAUGUUUGCUAAAAUAAUUUUCAGUAAAACGUGAAGAAAUAUUCAAGAUUAUUUAUAUAAAAAUAUAAAACAUGUAAAAAAAAAGUAUAAAAAAUUUUACAUCUGUAACAUUGUUAAUUAGAUAAUUUAAUAUAUAAACCAACAAAAUUGCUAUCAGAACAACUCUAUUAAACGGAAUAUGUGUAUGCGUUAAUAGUAUGCGUUUCAUACUGCCAUCUGUAGAAUAUUGUACGAAAAUCAGUAGAAUAUUUGUAGCGAAAGGGUUAAGCAUUCCAUCAUUUUCUAUAAAAAUUGAUAUGUACAUUCCGUUCGUCCUUAAAAUUUCUGAUGAAAUUCUUUUAUCAUUUAGGGAAAAUUGGCAGAAUUGUUUGCGUUUUAUGUCAUCUCUUGUUGCAUGUAAUAUAAAUCUAAAAUUUGUGUGAUUUAAAAAUUUGCCAGAGGUUGAACAUAUAUUUUUGUUCAUACGUGUUAGGACAUCUCUGGAAAAGUCAUUAGGGAAUUAUAAACAUUUUAAAGAAUUUAUUAUUAUUCUAUUUGGAAUCAUUGAUUAUAAGAAAUCCAUAUAUUCAAUAUUUUGGUUAAAAAUCAACUAUUUGUAAAAUUGGAUAGUUUUCUUGUCCAUGUACAUAGAUAUCUCAACUUUCGUAUUACUAGAUAUUCUAUCGUAAUUAUUUUUAUUUGUUGCAGUAUAUAAUUUGACAACAAUAAAUAUUAAUUAUUUAAUAAAUCAGAUUCAGAUUUUCGAUAGACUUUUCAGAGUUUCCUAUUUUGUCGUAACACCGUAACACUUAGAAAUAAUUUUUUUUUUACAAUAAAUUUCCUGUUGUGUUUUGAAUUGUUAUGUCGCACGAAUACAAAGUUCUGACCAAUUAAUCAUGAAAAUGUGGCUUAAUUAAUAAGAUCUUUAAUAAGAUCAACGGUGUCCUAAUACUUAUGAAAGUAAUGUAUGUUGAAUUUUUUCGGUAUUUACCAUGCCAUAGGGUUUACAUCUUAUUAUUUUUAAAGUUUAUGAACGCGUAUUGUGUAACCUUAAUCUCCAUUUUGUAAGAGGAUGUUUAUAUUAGUUGUUGAUGCUGUUUGGUAUUUUCCAUCAUACAUUCUUGCAGUGUUUCUAGAAAUGCUAUCGCAGAGGUCAUAAAAAUACUUUAUUGUUGUUAGUAAAAUGUUAGAUUUCAAUUCUUGUAGGUUUCGUAUUUUCGUUAUUACAUAUUAGCAGUCAUUUGAUAUCGAUGUUAAGUGAAUAAAAGCACUCAUUGAAAAUA